rnacentral:rRNA from 1 species
ACUGGAAUACUUACAAGAUAAUUACUUUUAAAAUUUAAAAAAUUUGGCGGUAAAAGAAGACCUCAGAGAAACCUGUGAAUUAAUUGGAUGAGCCACCAUUAAACUUUCUUGAAAUAUUUGUUACCUGUAUGUCUGUUUAGAUUAUCGUUAGAUCUUUAAUCUUUUAGUUACUUUAACUUAAAUUCAGGUCGAUAUAGGGAUUGUUUUCAAGUUUCCAUGGGUUGCAUUUAUGCUAAUUAGUGACUUUUUUAAUAUAAGUCUAAUUUGGAUUUGAUAGUAAAUAUUUAUGUAUGUAUGUUGAAUUUCUCUUCUUUUAAGUACAAAUCCCGUCCCAUCUAUUACAA